AGGAAUGUGGUGGCUCAGUGGCUAAGAUGCUGAGCUUGUCAAUCAGAAAGGUCAGCAGUUCAGAGGUUCAAAUACCUAGCACCACAUAAUAGAAUGAGCUCCCGUUACUUGUCCCAGCUUCUGCAAACCUAGCAGUUCGAAAGCAUGUACAAAUGCAAGUAG